rnacentral:rRNA from 1 species
ACACGCAUGACACACUGCAUAUCAAUAAGCGGAGGAAAAGAAACUAACUAGGAUUCCCUCAGUAACGGCGAGUGAAGCGGGAGGAGCUCAAAUUUGAAAUCUUCAAGGUUUGACCUUGACGAAUUGUAGUUUAAAGAAGUGUUUUCGGUUAGAGGAGUAGUAAAAGUUCUUUGGAAUAGGACAUCAUAGAGGGGUGAGAAUCCCGUAUUUGACUAUUCUUUCUAGCUUUGUAGAUACACUUUCAAAGAGUCGGAUUGUUUGGGAAUGCAGUCCAAGAUGGGUGGUAAAUUUCAUCUAAAGCUAAAUAUUGGCGAGAGACCGAUAGCGAACAAGUACCGUGAGGGAAAGAUGAAAAGAACUUUGAAAAGAGAGUUAAACAGUACGUGAAAUUGUCAAAAGGGAAGCGUUUGACACCAGUGUUGUUUUUCCGAAAAUCAAUUACGAAUGUUUUAUUUUUGAGGAGUUAUGACUUCAUCGGCUUGCUUCUCUCUUUAUGAAACUUUCUUAAUGCACUUUUCGGUUAACAAGUCAACAUCAAUUUCUUUUGUUGUAAAAGGGUAUGAGGAAGGUGGCUUACUCUUCGGCGUAAGUGUUUAUAGCCUUGUAGCCUCUGCAAUCGGAGAGAUUGAGGACUAGCAGCGUAGACUCCUUCGGGGUUAGAUACAGCUUUGUGCUAAGCUAUAGCCUUGUAUAGACAACUUGUUGACUAUGCUCUAGUCAUGUAGCUUACUCGCUGACGCUAUUUUACCUACGCUUAGGAUGUUGACUGAUAUGUAGUCGUA